rnacentral:lncRNA from 1 species
CAUAAGUUAAUCAAUUAAUCAAACUAAGCUUAUAUCAACAAAACAUUACAAGGAUACUUAACAAACUCAUUAUAGAGUUACGCAAAACAAUGACAAUUUUAGAUAUAUUGAUGAGAAGUGAAACAUACGAGCACCAGAUUUUUAAGUAAUCAAUGACGGUAUCUCAGUCAUCGUUUUCUUCAUGCUCUCCUCCAUUCUUGAUCCGAAGGACGAAGACGAAGCAGCUGAAGAAUAAGAAGAAGACAUGGCUCAAAUAGAACAUGUCUGGUUUAGACCCACGAGUCUAUGAAUACAAUUAACAAACAUUCAAGCCAUUUCAAAACUCAACACUUUUGCUCUCUUUCAGCUGUAUCCAAUUUUUCUCUCUCUCUGCUCUCAAGUCUCUAUUGUCUACGUCUUCGCCGCCAUUACGUCGAUGCCACAUACAUCUAUACCGUUACUAGGUCUCCUCCAUCUUCUACGUCUCCGCCAUCGUCUAUGUCGAUGACGCCUACGUCUCCGCCAUUGUCAAUGUAACCAUUACACCACCAUUUGACCAUCA